rnacentral:lncRNA from 1 species
CACUCUGUCACCCAGACUGGAGUGCAAUGAUGCAAUCACAGGUCACUGCAGCCUUGACCUGCUGAACUCAAGCAAUCCUCCCAUCUCAGCCUCCUGAGUAGCUGGGACUUUAGGCAUGCGCCACCACACCCAGGUAAAUCAUCAUGUUACCUCCAGAAUUCUACUCCUCCAUGCAGCUUCUCUGUGCAUAAAAUCCUUGGAUAGAAGAAAUGUCUGCUGGCCUAGAACUGAUUUUAACACUGAAAAUAUUAAGGCCACAUAACACAAGGCUGGGCAGGUGCAUAUCUCACCCAAAGCAUCUGCUUUUCUAAGCCACACAUAGAAAAAUAACUCAAGAAGUAUAGUUGAAGAUGGCCGAAUAGAAACAGCUCCAGUCUGCAGCUCCCAGUGAGACCAAUGCAGAAGGCUGGUGAUUUCUGCACUUCCAACUGAGGUACCCAGUUCAUCUCAUCGGGACUGGUUAGGCAGGGCAUCUCCGAAGGAAAUGCAGCAAACCCAGUCAGGGGCUUACAGAUGAAACUCUCUUCUCCCUCAGACUGAGCACCUAGGCGGAGGGACGGCUAUGGGCAAAGCUUCAGCGGACUUAAUCUUUCCUGCCUGCUGGCUGUGGAGACAGCAGCUGAUCCUGACAAGGGGUAUUCUUCCAGCACAGCACAGCAGCUCUGCUAAGAGACAGGUUGCCUCCUCAAGUGGGUCCCUGACACCCGUGCCUCCUGACUGGGAGAAACCUCCAAACAGGGGUCGACAGACACCUCAUGCAGGAAAGCUCAGGCUGGCAUUAGGCCAGUGCCCCUGUGGGACAAAGCUUCCAGAGGAAGGAGCAGGCAGCAAUCUUUGCUGUUUUGCAGCCUCCACUGCUGAUACCCAGGUAAACAGGAUCUGGGAUGGACCUCCAGGAAACUACAGCAGAUCUGCAGAAGAAAGCCCUGACUACUAGAAGAAAAACUAACAAACAGAAAGCAACAACAACAACAUCAACAAAAACUCAAAACCCAAAUCCACACAAAAACUCAAUCCAAAGGUCGCCAUUCUCAAAGAUCAAAAGUAGAUAAAUCCACGAAAGUGAGGAAAAAACAGCACAAAAACCCUGAAAAUUCCAAAACCCAGAAUGCCUCUUCUCCUCCAAAUGAUUGCAACUCCUCUCCAGCAAGGGCACAAAACUGGAUGGAGAAUGAGAUUGACAAAUUGACAGAAGUAGGCUUCAGAAGGUGGGUAAUAACAAACUCCUCUAAGCUAAAUAAGCAUGUUCUAUUCCAAUAUAAGGAAGUUAAGAACCUUGAUAAAAGGUUACAGGAACAGCUAACUAGAAUAACCAGUUUAGAGGGGAAAAUAAAUGACCUGUUGGAGCUGAAAAACAUAGCAUGAGAACUUCAUGAAGCAUACACAAGUACCAAUAGCCAAAUAAAUCAAGCAGAAGAAAGGAUAUCAGAGAUUGAAGAUUACCUUGCUAAAAUAAGGCGUGAAGACAAGAUUAGAGAAAAAAGAAUGAAAAGGACUGAACAAAGCCUCCAAGAAAUAUGGGAAUAUGUGAACAGACCAAACUUAUGAUUAAUUGAUGUACCUGAAAGUGAUGGGGAGAAUGGAACCAAGUUGGAAAACACACUUCAGGAUAUUAUCCAGGAGAACUUCCCCAACCUAGCAAGACAGGCCAGCAUUCAAAUUCAGGAAAUACAGAGAAUACCACUAAGAUACUCCUCGAGAAGAUCAACCCCAAGACACAUUAUCGUCAGAUUC